rnacentral:rRNA from 1 species
UACGUAGGGUGCGAGCGUUAAUCGGAAUUACUGGGCGUAAAGCGUGCGCAGGCGGUUUGUUAAGACAGGUGUGAAAUCCCCGGGCUUAACCUGGGAAUGGCGCUUGUUACUGGCAAGCUAGAGUGUGUCAGAGGGAGGUAGAAUUCCACGUGUAGCAGUGAAAUGCGUAGAGAUGUGGAGGAAUACCGAUGGCGAAGGCAGCCUCCUGGGAUAACACUG